AGUGAACGCUGGCGGUAGGCCUAACACAUGCAAGUCGAACGGCAGCGCAGUAAGAGCUUGCUCUUACGGGUGGCGAGUGGCGGACGGGUGAGGAAUACAUCGGAAUCUACUUUUUCGUGGGGGAUAACGUAGGGAAACUUACGCUAAUACCGCAUACGACCUACGGGUGAAAGCAGGGGAUCUUCGGACCUUGCGCGAUUGAAUGAGCCGAUGUCGGAUUAGCUAGUUGGCGGGGUAAAGGCCCACCAAGGCGACGAUCCGUAGCUGGUCUGAGAGGAUGAUCAGCCACACUGGAACUGAGACACGGUCCAGACUCCUACGGGAGGCAGCAGUGGGGAAUAUUGGACAAUGGGCGCAAGCCUGAUCCAGCCAUACCGCGUGGGUGAAGAAGGCCAUCGGGUUGUAAAGCCCUUUUGUUGGGAAAGAAAAGCAGCAGGUUAAUACCCCGCUGUUCUGACGGUACCCAAAGAAUAAGCACCGGCUAACUUCGUG
rnacentral:rRNA from 1 species